rnacentral:rRNA from 1 species
UGGGGAAUAUUGCGCAAUGGGCGAAAGCCUGACGCAGCGACGCCGCGUGAGGGAAGAAGGCCUUCGGGUCGUAAACCUCUGUCUAGAGGGAAGAAACCAUUGAGGUCGAAUAGGCCUCUUUGCUGACGGUACCUCUGAAGGAAGCACCGGCUAACUCCGUGCCAGCAGCCGCGGUAAUACGGAGGGUGCGAGCGUUACUCGGAAUCACUGGGCGUAAAGCGCACGUAGGCGGUGUCGUAAGGCGGAUGUGAA